AUAAUGAUACUUCAAUAGUUUAAGCCGGCUCGUCUUAAUAAGGGGGCGGUGGUGAGAUUCCAAUGU
rnacentral:ncRNA from 1 species